rnacentral:rRNA from 1 species
AGAGUUUGAUCCUGGCUCAGGAUGAACGCUAGCGGCAGGCUUAAUACAUGCAAGUCGUGGGGCAGCAGGUCCCGCAGCAAUGCGGGAUGCUGGCGACCGGCAAACGGGUGCGGAACACGUACACAACCUUCCUUUAAGUGGGGGAUAGCCCGGGGAAACCCGGAUUAAUACCCCGUAAUAUAAUGAGGUGGCAUCACUUUAUUAUUAUAGCUCCGGCGCUUAGAGAUGGGUGUGCGGCUGAUUAGGCAGUUGGCGGGGUAACGGCCCACCAAACCUACGAUCAGUAACUGGUGUGAGAGCACGACCAGUCACACGGGCACUGAGACACGGGCCCGACUCCUACGGGAGGCAGCAGUAAGGAAUAUUGGUCAAUGGACGCAAGUCUGAACCAGCCAUGCCGCGUGGAGGAUGAAGGUCCUCUGGAUUGUAAACUUCUUUUAUCUGGGAAGAAAUCCACGAAUUCUUUUGUGGUUGACGGUACCAGAUGAAUAAGCACCGGCUAACUCCGUGCCAGCAGCCGCGGUAAUACGGAGGGUGCAAGCGUUAUCCGGAUUCACUGGGUUUAAAGGGUGCGUAGGUGGGUUGGUAAGUCAGUGGUGAAAUCUCCAGGCUUAACUUGGAAACUGCCAUUGAUACUAUCAAUCUUGAAUGCCGUGGAGGUCAGCGGAAUAUGUCAUGUAGCGGUGAAAUGCUUAGAUAUGACAUAGAACACCAAUUGCGAAGGCAGCUGGCUACACGAAAAUUGACACUGAUGCACGAAAGCGUGGGGAUCAAACAGGAUUAGAUACCCUGGUAGUCC